GAGCAGCGCGAGGAAAAAAACAGAGAAAAAGGGCAGGAGGCAAUGGGCGCGUCUCCCCCGCGACCCUCAUCCCCUCUUGCCGCCGCCGGCUCCUCUCCUCUCCCCACACCUUGUCUGCCUCCCUCUCCGUCGUCUUCUCUCGCCCCAGCCGUCUUUGUCCUCUCCUGCGCCGCCAGCCCCGGAUCUGGAGGAGGAAGAGGAGAACCGGGCGUCCUGGCGGUGGCUCGACCGGCGGGCACGGAGGCAUGCUUCUCCGGUGGCGGUCAACAGCGGCGUCGGCGGUGCGGGUUGAUUCACCGCCUGAAGCGACCAACGGCCAGCGAGGAAGAUGGCUUGAGGAGGAGCACGGGUCAAGGGGAGCCUCCUUCGAUCCUACAAGGCUCCAUCUCGAGCACUUGAACGCGACACCAAGGACGGUGUCUCGGGAGGACGACGACAGUGGUGUGCAGCCUGGAACCCUAGGCUUCUCUGCUCCAUACCCAUGGUCGAGCUGCCACGUCCUUCGCCCAGAUUUGGUGCAGGUUUAACUGAACUCUUGAUGAUGUUUUGUCAGCAAACACACCGAGACGUUGGAAUAAAUUGAUGUGGUGUACAAGGAGCUGGCUUUACAGUCUGGCGUUAAGCACUGGGGAGGAGUUCCUUCUUUAGGUGGUGAGCUCACUUUCAUUUGAGAUCCUGUGGGUGUUACCGUAAUCAUGCCUUAUGUUGGCACAAUGGCAGAUUCCAACCUCAGAGGCCUGGUAGGUGGCAAGUACACCACAGGACAUGCAAAUGCAUUCUCUCUAUUUGUUCAUUCAUGUUUUACAUCUUACUCGAUCAUGUUGGCAUCCAGUAAUCUUAUAUGCAUGUGGUUUCCUCAACCUGGAGUUAAAUACAGGCUGGUCAUGAAUGAGCUUAUAAGUGUUUCUAAUGGUCUUUUUAUGCAUGAAUUAUUCAGUUAUUUGAAUCAUGGGUUUGUUUUGGUAUAUGUUCCUUCGAUGGUGACCUGUUCAGUUGAACUUUUGACAGGCUAGCUUUUAAAUGGGUGUUUUAAUUUUUUUAUGGUGUUGUGUUUACAUCACUAAACAUGUUUUUAUAUACUUGAUCUAUGAUGCAUUUUUUUUGAAAAUUACUCGGUGCUCAUUGAUAUUAAUUUAUGCUUCAAAAUGCCAUUUCUCCUACAGCAUUGUGAAUCUAAACUGUAUAGUGUAUGCCAGUAGUUUUUGCUAUUGAUUAGUUUCCUAGGUAGAACAGAAGAGCAUAAAACCAUACAUGUAACCUGCAGAUUCAGUUACCAAUUUACCAUCAAUAUCAUUUGAUUCUUCUUGGAACUCAAGGUAGUGGAAGUGCACUGCUGUCCUGUAUAUGCCCGAUAAUUUUUUUUAUUCUGUUAGUUAUUCAUAUGGAAAUUCUAGCAUAAGGUGUGUUAGGAACUUUAGUUUUUUUACACAUUCGUUCAUUCUUAUCAAAGUCGCGAACAGUUUAGCUUGAAUCCAAUGACUUUAAGAAGUUUAGAGAUAUUUUCUUAUAAAAUAUUACUGUUUAUUGCCCCCUCUGAUCAACAAUAUUAUUCACCAUGGUAUAUAAUGUGGUACAGAUUUUUCUUCUUCUUUAACACAGACGUAUUUAGAAGUAUCUACAGUUGAAACAUGGAAAUGAUGCAAUGAAAUUAGUAACAUUUGUAUACGUGAACUUUGUUUCCCUGUGGGUGCUAAUUUUAUGUUCCAGUCCAAACCUGUACAAGUAUGAUCUAUAAAAGUAAAGCAUUUUUUGUAAUAUUAAUUUGUGACAUUUGUAAUCUUGCAGCCUAUUUGUUUGAGCACUGCACAGGCAAGGACACAACCUCGGGCACCAAUCCAUUCUACCUUGCACAUCUUUUCCUGCAUUUACAUUUUUAUGUGCUUUCAUUGGUCAUGUUCUGUGUGUUUUGGGCUGACCCAAUGCAUUUCAGUUAAUCUAUAUGUACCGUUGUUUGUUAUUUUAUAUACUUUCAUGCAUUUUCUAUGCCUGAUCUGUUUCCUAUGUUCUUUCCAUUUGUGUUGCAGAUCAUGUCACUCUUCCACUGUCUUGUUGGUUCAUGUACUGUUGUUCGUUGCCAAAGUUUGUGCUUCCUCUUUUCAGUUCUAUUUUCUUUGGAUUCUGAGAUGCAUAAUGAUUGAAUGUGUUUAAGUUUGUCCGUUUCUGCCAUGUGUUUUGGGUGACUAUGUACAGUUUAUCUAUUCUAUCUGGUGCAUCUUGUGCUAAACUUCUCGCUGGAUGUGCUCUAAUUGGCUAUCGCAUGUGUGCUCUAGCCUAAGCCAUUGCAUUUGAAGUUGUCACUUUCUGAAUUUUUCAUGUUCCUGCUUGCAUGCGCUGCGAUUGGUUAUAUGCAAGGAAGAAUGGUGUCCUGUUCUUUUUAUUUUUAUUUUUUCAGCCUCCACGUUCCCAAUAUUAAUUAGUCACUUGGUAGAAUUCUUAAUCUGUGUAUUUUCCAUGCCUGAGUUGUUCUUGCUUUGUUAUUUUCUUUUGUAUUACAGGUCUUGUUGUUGUGGCACUCUCUUGUCAUCACACGCGCUGCUGUUUUUGACUGCCAAGAUUUGUGCUGUAUAUAUUAUAGUUCAAAAGCUUUUCGUUAUGCUUCCUAUCUCGAAAAUAAGAAUAGCUCCAUGGGUGAGAAAGGGUGCUCCAGAAGGGCCAGAAAUUUGGCCAUUGUAAAUUUGGACCAACACACAUGAAUUUCAUCACCCAGAAGGGCCAGGACUUGGUGUUUUUUCAGAGACACCAAGCAUGUAUCCACCAGCGCAACAAUUGCAUGUCUCUUCCAGUUGGCAAUUGGGAAGGCUUUCUGUUCUACCAGGAUCAUUUUUCUCAGGCUCUUAUCCUCCAAAUUAUGCACCCAUCUAUAGUCAUGCCGAUGUAGUAAUGGAACCCUUACAUGGUAAGUUUCUAAUAUUGUAUUCCUUCUCAUUUUAAACGUUGUGCUACAAAUAGUAGGCCAUCGAACAAGGGUGUUUUAUAUUAAUCUAGACCAAAGUAUAAAAAAAUAAAUUUGUAGGGUCUGUUAUUAAUGAUACAACCUUUACUGUCUAAUUUCAGGAACUCACAAUGUAUGAGGAGCAUUGUGUUGUAAAACAAGAUUACAAAAAUGACCCAAAACAUGACUUUGUUCUUUUGUGCUAUGAAGAUUGUGAUGCAUUGUCAGAAAAAUAAAACCUGCUCUGAUGACUUCAUUCUCCUUUAUUUUCUUAGUCACCUAUGAACCAAGUUGUGUCAACUAGGGCACAACAAACUGUUCUUUUUUUAGAAGAGACAACAAACUGUUCAGGCAGGACCAUUUGGCGUAUCACACCGAGGGCCUCCAUCCGUAGUUGCUUAUGGUAGUAAUUAUGCAUCGUUGUCUUCUUCAACAUGGCCUUCAAGUGGCAAACAAGAAAUUGCCUGAUUUCUCAUGUUUUAAUUUAAGCUUUGUAGCCACUUUGAAGCUUGCUUGCUACAUAUUUGACAGUACCUACAUUAGAACCAAAUAUGUCUUAGUACAUCCAUUAGAACCAAAUAUGUUUUAGUUAAGUGAUGUUCCUGAGGCCUUGCUCAUACAUAUUCAUGUUUUAUUAUCAAUCUCUAAACUACUCUUGCAUGGUUUGAAUGCCUGGUUUUCUCUUGGUUUUUGCGUCAGGGGCGCAAAGGGUCAUACUCUGUCGCAUAUAAGAUAUGUUGCAGAUCACCUUAAUGAUGCAACUUAUAAUUAGAGAACAUUCUACAGGAACCAAACAAGUAUUAUUAGGGGUUGGAUGAUGGUAUGGAAGGCAUUUUUAUUUUUGGCAAUGGCAACCCACCAGACACACCCACCAUGAAGAGCUACUUAGAUGAUGAAGUCAUAUUCGAUACCGAUGGCAUCUGCAACGAUGACUACGUGAUAUUCAUCACUACUCACCACGAGCUAAAUGAUCGAAGCUGUCUAUAUGCAUAACCUAUGUGUAGCUUUCUUGAUAAACGUAGUAUAAAUAAGCUAUCGUAAUCUAAUCCCAUGCCUUUCUCAUAAUGCUAUAUAUCAAUUUCAUACGAAAAUAUCUAUUCUCUUAUGAUCCAAUCGGCAUCUAAAUAUUCUUACGUGCGUGGUUUGAAUGCUUGGUUUGUACAAUAUUUGUCCCCUUAUUUCCCUGAUCUUUUUAGUUUUAGUUUCUGUUGCCGCAGACAAGCAAUUCAAAUGCAGAGCUACAUCAAAGAUCCGCGUCAAAUAAUUAGGCCAAUAUAAAUAACAAAAUUUGGGCGUAGUGUCGUAGUCGCCUCCAUCCUGUAGCAUCUUAGCUCUUUGUACAUUUUGAUUGUUCAUUUUACUGGCUCCUUCAUUUUCGUCUGCUAGCUCAAUGAUUUGUCAUUGUUAUAAUUGGUUCCUUUCUGUCACUGCUGGUCUUGAACACAUACUGGUGGCAUCCGAUGGGACAAAUUCGACUGGUCUCUAUCCGAGAGGAGAGAUCCGGGGGAAUGUGUGUUGAGGCUCUCAUCAUGUUGGUACAUGGUGAAUGUUCCAUCAAGUUGUGGAUGGCUCUAAGGCAUGUGACACCAAUGAUAGAUACUCCUGCCGUGUCAUGAAGCUCAUUAAGUGCUACAAAAAUAUUUCACAGGGGUAAUUGUUUCUGUUCUUCACCAAUCUACCGUGUCAGAUGUUGUUUUAUUAUUGUUUGUUCUUCGUAGGCAUAGCCUAUUAAUUAUUCACUUGUCCGUAGGUAUGUAUCAUGGCUCUAAGUCACGCACAUGAGAUUUGAGACUUUUUUGGGGGCUAAUGAUAAAUAUUGUUGGUGAUAAGGAGUGUAUGCUUAUGUGCUGUACUUUUCAUUAUCCAAUAUAUGGAUAAUAUUUAUCAUUGUCAAAAGAGUGCACCUCGGGAUAAUGGUUAUGAAAUAUUUUUCCUAUAUUAUUAUGUACUUCAACCUUUUCAUAUUUCAAAGUGGUUGUGAGAAUGGCUAUGAAAUUGAAGAGGCGGCCAGAGGAGGUAGUGAGGGAGCUGCUCCUUCAUCCUCCCCUCCAUACUGUCGGUAAUACAUUAUUUUCUCUCAUAGAUUUAAAGUGAUUUUUUCUGUUGUUGCAAAGCAUGGGUAUUUAAAAAGCUGCAACCCAGUAACUUUGAUUUUCAUAGUCUACUCUGCCUUCUGCGUCUACCUUGUUGUAUAAGAGACCAGUCAGCACUAUGUAUACCAACAAUAACCACACACAUGAAUUCUGAUUUGUGCACAAGGAAGCUCACAAAUUUGUGUCCAUCUUUUUCGUAGUAAUCAUAUUGCUUGCAUAUUUUAUUAGACUGAUCAUAGUCACGAUGAUCAGACAGAUAAUAUUUGGUAGAGAAGAUUAGAAGAAACAUUUAUAUCAUAUUUUUGUAUGUUUUUUCUGUAGAAAAGGUACCAUGGGUUGAUUGUGUUGGAUCCCAUUACUAUAUGAUGUAUUUGACUGCUAUUCCUAAGAACUGCUCCUGGACACAGUGCUCUAUGUUGACAUGUCUUACAUUUUAUUGUGUCGCCUAUCUGUAUAGUUAUUCGGAUCUUACAUUUUUGUAUUUUUGUCGAUGCAGGUGUGUUCUUCCUACUAUAAAGCAACAUGGAUUUCUUUAAAUUAAAUUGUGCAUAUUAUGGAAAAUAAAUCUUGUGUGUCUAUAGUCAUGUUCAUCUGUCACAAAUCCAUGGUGAAAUAAACAGGAGAAUACAUGCUUGCAGAAGUUGUCAAGAGGCUCCAUUUAACCAUCAAAGACCAUGAGACCUACGAAUCCAGUGAUAGAGAUGGACACAAUCUCUCCUUGUGGAAGGACAAUGUAUCAAUUGCCAACAAAACCAAACAUUUCAUCCUAUCUUACCAUGUAGUACUAACUUAACUGCAAUGUAUCACCUGUGUCAAAAACUA